rnacentral:rRNA from 1 species
AUUGAACGCUGGCGGCAGGCUUAACACAUGCAAGUCGAGCGGAGAUGAGGUGCUUGCACCUUAUCUUAGCGGCGGACGGGUGAGUAAUGCUUAGGAAUCUGCCUAUUAGUGGGGGACAACAUUCCGAAAGGAAUGCUAAUACCGCAUACGCACUACGGGGGAAAGCAGGGGAUCUGCGGACCUUGCGCUAAUAGAUGAGCCUAAGUCGGAUUAGCUAGUUGGUGGGGUAAAGGCCUACCAAGGCGACGAUCUGUAGCGGGUCUGAGAGAGAUGAUCCGCCACACUGGGACUGAGACACGGCCCAGACUCCUACGGGAGGCAGCAGUGGGGAAUAUUGGACAAUGGGCGGAAGCCUGAUCCAGCCAUGCCGCGUGUGUGAAGAAGGCCUUUUGGUUGUAAAGCACUUUAAGCGAGGAGGAGGCUACCUGGAUUAAUACUCUAGGAUAGUGGACGUUACUCGCAGAAUAAGCACCGGCUAACUCUGUGCCAGCCGCCGCAGUAAAAC